GACCAGACUCCUACGGGAGGCAGCAGUGGGGAAUAUUGCACAAUGGGGGGAACCCUGAUGCAGCGACGCCGCGUGGGUGAAGGAGCACCUCGGUGCGUAAAGCCCUAUCGGCAGGGAAGAAACAGACGGGACCUGACUAAGAAGCCCCGGCUAACUACGUGUCAGCAGCCGCGGGAAUACGUAGGGGGCAAGCGUUAUCCGGAUUCACUGGGGGUAAAGGGAGCGUAGACGGCGACGCAAGUCUGGAGUGAAAGCCCGGGGCCCAACCCCGGGACUGCUCUUGGAACUGCGUGGCUGGAGUGCAGGAGGGGCAGGCGGAAUUCCUGGUGUAGCGGUGAAAUGCGUAGAUAUCAGGAGGAACACCGGUGGCGAAGGCGGCCUGCUGGACUGCAACUGACGUUGAGGCCCGAAAGCGUGGGGAGCAAACAGGAUUAGAUCCCCUAGUA
rnacentral:rRNA from 1 species